GAUUGGGGCUCCAUAUGGCCCCUAAGAAGUCAGACAAAUGAGCAUAAUAGAAGGGAUUCAGAAGGGAAGGUCACCCCCGCACAUGGAAGAGCAGUGAUGCGUCCAUACUGCAACGUGCUCGGGAUACCGUGGGAAAGGGUUCCAGAACCAUUCCGCCUACUCACCAGCUCUAGGAUUUGGCAGCCAACACCCUCCUCUGACCUCCGAGGCUCGGCGUUAUUGACUAACCCUAAUAGGGAUGGAUCCCGCCUUCCCUGCCUCACAGUGACUUCUGUGAGGGUUAAACGAGAGCCAUGAAAACCAUGCAUGUCAGGUAAGGUGCAAAACCACCAUUGUGCGGUUGUGCAGGUUCGGGGGAGACAGAGCUCACUUUGCAA
rnacentral:lncRNA from 1 species